AAUAUUGGACAAUGGUCGGAAGACUGAUCCAGCCAUGCCGCGUGAAGGCAGACGGUCCUAUGGAUUGUAAACUUCUUUUGUACGGGAGCAAUAAGGGCGUCGUGACGUCCGAUGAGAGUACCGUACGAAUAAGCAUCGGCUAACUCCGUGCCAGCAGCCGCGGUAAUACGGAGGAUGCGAGCGUUAUCCGGAUUUAUUGGGUUUAAAGGGUGCGUAGGCGGAAAGUUAAGUCAGCGGUGAAACGCAGGUGCUCAACACCUGACCUGCCGUUGAGACUGGUUUUCUGGAAUGCGGAUGCUGUGGGAGGAAUGUGUGGUGUAGCGGUGAAAUGCAUAGAUAUCACACAGAACACCGAUUGCGAAGGCAUCUCACAAAUCCGCGAUUGACGCUGAGGCACGAAGGUGCGGGGAUCGAAC
rnacentral:rRNA from 1 species